UAACUUCGUGCCAGCAGCCGCGGUAAGACGAAGGUGGCGACCGUUGUUCGGAAUCACUGGGCAUAAAGAGCUCGUAGGCGGUGUGAAAAGUAGGGUGUGAAAUCCCUCGGCCCAACCGAGGAACUGCGCUCUAAACUGUCUUGCUUGAGGACCGAAGGGGACCACGGAAUUCCUGGUGGAGCGGUGAAAUGCGUUGAUAUCAGGAGGAACACCGGCGGCGAAGGCGGUGGUCUGGUCGGUUUCUGACGCUGAGGAGCGAAAGCUAGGGGAGCAAACGGGAUUAGAUACCCCGGUAGUCCUAGCCGUAAACGAUGGGCACUAGGUAGGGGGGUACCCAAUGCCUCCCUGCUGGAGUUAAUAUAUUAAGUGCCCCGCCUGGGGAGUAUAGUCGCAAGGCUGAAACUCAAAGGAAUUGACGGGGGCUCACACAAGCGGUGGAGCAUGUUGUUUAAUUCGAAGCAACGCGCAGAACCUUACCUGGGCUUGACAUGCUAGUAGUAGGAACCUGAAAGGGGGACGACUCUGGAAACAGAGAGCUAGCACAGGUGUUGCAUGGCUGUCGUCAGCUCGUGUCGUGAGAUGUCGGGUUAAGUCCCAUAACGAGCGAAACCCUUGCCUUCAGUUGCCAGCGGGUAAUGCCGGGGACUCUGGAGGGACUGCCGGUGUUAAACCGGAGGAAGGUGGGGAUGACGUCAAGUCCUCAUGGCCCUUACGCCCAGGGCUACAAACGUGCCACAAUGGCUGGUACAAAGGGACGCGAAACCGUGAGGUCAAGCAAAUCCCAAAAAGCCAGUCUCAGUUCGGAUUGAGGGCUGCAACUCGCCCUCAUGAAGCUGGAAUCGCUAGUAAUCGGAGAUCAGCUACGCUCCGGUGAAUAUGUUCCUGAGCCUUGUACACACCGCCCGUCAAGCCACGAGAGCCGAGAGUUCCCAAAGCCGUUACACCAACCAGCAAUGGGGGAAGACGUCUACGGAAAGCUCGGUGAUUGGGACUAAGUCGUAACAAGGUAGCCGUAGGAGAACCUGCGGCUG
rnacentral:rRNA from 1 species